rnacentral:rRNA from 1 species
AUGUACCAAAAGGGUUGUCGACUGCAUUUAAUGCUCAUGUACGUCGACUGUCUUGAUCUGUCCAUCGUGGAUUUCACUGGGACAGGAGGCCCGCCGCCUGCGCACAAGUUUGCUGUUUCUGCAUGGACUAUCAACACUGUCAAGGCUGUGCUUGCCGCAGACAAGCUGAUGGCCAAGCAUGCUAUAGACUACAGUGUGUUUGGGGGGCCUCAAAACUUUGGAAAGUGGAUGGACGUGCACUCAGCUCCGUCUUGCCCUGCCGAGGCGAGGGCACCUGUUGAGCAUCUAAUAGGGCAGUUUGCAUCUGGAAUGACCGGCUUGCUCGGGAAGUUGGUUGAGGGGUGGACGUCCCUCAGUGGCUCUGAUAGCGACGCGGUUGCGAGGCAGUUCACUUCAUUUGUCCCAGAACGUACACACCGGCCAACCGGUUGCCGUGGCUGGGUGAAGAAGACUACUACGCGCGGGGCCAAGCAUAUCAGUAAGGACCCGCUCGAACGCCUGCAUUCAAAGUUGUCAACAGGGGGCAACUCAGAUGUACAUGAGGCACCAGGUGACAAUACUGCUGCUGCACCGUUAACCGCUCCCACCAACUCUGAUGCAAGUGGCCGACCAUCUCCGCCGGCUGCAGAUGUGCAGGCUAGAACAACAGGCAUCCGUACAUCAGGGAGUGACGAGUCGGUAUCUGCCAGGACAGCUGAAAUAUUGCCAACUCUUCUGGCAAUGAAGAAUGUUGCUAUGAGCCAUGCCACCCCAUCAGCAAGCGUUGAAGUGGAUGCUCCCGAGAUGAACCUAAGCAAGGAAGAUUCCCGCUCAUCUGACACUGAUUCCAAGCGCGUGCGUGGUGGCACUCCUGUGUCCACGACAGAAGCGGCUGAGGCGGCAGUUAACAAGGAUAUGCCAUCUACAGGUGAGAGUCCUGGCACAACAGCUCCAGCUCCUGUCGGUGCAGAUACUGCUAAGGCGACUGUUUCGCGUGCUGGUCUUCCACCUAGGCGUCGUAGCCCCCGCAAGCAACCAACAGACAUACCCAAUGCACCGGCUGUAGCUAGGAGCAGGAGAGACGAGUCUGGUUAUGUUCCUGUGUCCACACUGUUCCCGCCACCUGCCAAAAGCAAUGUGAUGGAGAAACCGGAAGACCGGAGCACAACUGGUGCAGGUGUCAAGCCAGGUACGAGUGACGCAGGUGAAAAACCGGAGCAGACUGCGCCUUUACCCGUAGUGGAAAUCCCUAGCAUAAAUCUGCGCACUUCCAGGCUCCCAGUCAAUGUCGGUGUCCCCUACAGCCCAAACAAGAAGAUUGUCAUGAAAGAUGCGGCUGAUACCGCUGACAACACGCCCCGCCCUACAAAUAAGGCCGAUCAUUUUGUAGCGGCCGAUUCAGAUAUGUUUGUCGAUCUUUCACCCUUGGAUUCUGCCCCGCAAGUCGUUCAUGGUCCGGCCAGUAGGAAUGAGAGGCACCCAAUGGCCUUUACCCCACCGAGCUUCAGCCUUGGCAUCAGUCAAGAUCAACCGUUGGUGCAAGAUCUUAUGCCAGUUGCCUUUGCUUUCCCAGGAGGCAUGCCCGCAAUGAUGGCGCAGCCAAUGGUCGAGGGCAGGAAGGUUGUCAAGUUCGCAGAGCCGAUUGUUGCAUGA